AUCUUCUCAUUGAGCUCCUUUCUGUCAACCAGUGAUAGAUUAUGGAUUCGCACGAGAAGAAAAGAGAAUUCACAGAACUGGCACACUUAUCUUCUGUUUUUGCAGAAGUAUAUUUGGCUGUUCUGUGACACAUUC
rnacentral:snoRNA from 1 species